rnacentral:rRNA from 1 species
CUAGCUGUAAACGAUGGAUACUAGGCGUUGAGAGUAUCGACCCUCUCAGUGUCGUAGCUAACGCGUUAAGUAUCCCGCCUGGGGAGUACGCGCGCAAGCGUGAAACUCAAAGGAAUUGACGGGGGCCCGCACAAGCGGUGGAGUAUGUGGUUUAAUUCGAUGCAACGCGAAGAACCUUACCAGGGCUUGACAUGUCCGGAACCCUGCCCAAAGGCGGGGGUGCCUACGGGAACCGGAACACAGGUGGCGC